UAGAAACUAACMAGGAUUCCUUUAGUAGCGGCGAGCGAAGCGGGAAGAGCCCAUCGCCGAAUCCCCGGGGGCGCGAGUCCUCGAGGGAAAUGUGGCGUGAGGAAGUCCGUUGCCGCGGCCGCGGCGGCGCCGAGGUCCUUCUGAUCGAGGCCUCUUCCGUCCCACGGCGGGUGUCAGGCCCCUGCGGGCGCCGUCCGGUCGCGGAACCAAGGCUUCCAGGAGUCGGGUUGUUUUGUAGCGCAGCCCAAAGGCGGGUGGUAAACUCCAUCCAAGGCUAAAUACCGGCACGAGACCGAUAGAGCACAAGUACCRUGAGGGAAAGUA
rnacentral:rRNA from 1 species